rnacentral:rRNA from 1 species
AGUGGGGAAUUGUUCGCAAUGGGCGCAAGCCUGACGACGCAACGCCGCGUGGAGGAUGAAGGUCUUCGGAUUGUAAACUCCUGUUGAUCGGGACGAAAAGCUCCAACCCAAUACGUUGGAGACUGACGGUACCGGUUGAGGAAGCCACGGCUAACUCUGUGCCAGCAGCCGCGGUAAUACAGAGGUGGCAAGCGUUGUUCGGAAUUACUGGGCGUAAAGGGCGCGUAGGCGGCCUUCUAAGUCGGACGUGAAAGCCCCAGGCUUAACCUGGGAACUGCGUCUGAUACUGGGAGGCUUGGAUUCGGGAGAGGGAUGUGGAAUUCCAGGUGUAGCGGUGAAAUGCGUAGAUAUCUGGAGGAACACCGGUGGCGAAGGCGGCAUCCUGGACCGAGAUCGACGCUGAGGCGCGAAAGCUAGGGGAGCAAA